GCAAGAGGUAAUGUUCAUCGCUCGCUUAAUCCUUCGGUCGGUCGGUCGUUAAUUUACUCGAUUAAUGAGAACGUCAAAGAAACGAAACAGCUAUGUGAACAAAACAACCUCAAAGCCAGGAGUAUCUUCAGCGGCGAAUCGUCCAGUGAAGAAAAAUGGAAGUCCCUUCAUCCAGUAAUCAAAACCGUUCUCAUGGAUGUAGUUGCCAAUGACGACCACGAAAUUUCAUCAAGUACGCAUGCGCGGAUCAAGAAAACUGUGGCGGGAAACGACUUGAUAGAAAUGUCCCGGAUUAUGUCCGAGAGGAGCCUGUGGAAGAAAGUUCCAGUAGCGCGCUACAGGAAAAGGAAACAAAUGAUGAAAAARGCGGUGAAAAAUCCUUGGAGCUCAUUGUUUGAAGAUGAAUCGUGUUAAAUGGUUAACAAAAGGCAGCUUAAACGAGUAAAGAAAAUGGAAUCCUAAAUGUCAAAACUUGACCUUUCCUAAAUUCAGUUGAGGGUUUACAUCCAAUGUAUUCUUCCAAUGCAAUGAAAAGUUUAUUUGCAUUUUCAUGUUCUCUGUUGCUCAGGGCUAUAGCCUAGAUUUUGUGUAGAAUAUCCACGUGUUCCAGUGAAGGUCCGUGGAAUUUCAAAAUGCUCGUAUUGUUGAAGUUGUAGAAGAAUGGUAUUUGUGCAUUGUUUAACAUAGAAACGAAGUUAAUCCUGAGUCUGUAGUCAAUUUUGGAAAGAGUUCCUACAAAAAUCUCUUUUUAUCCGCACUUAAUAUCUCCUUUUCGAAAAUAAGGCGUGAUCGCAUUCAGCAAAUUUUCUCUGCAACUUGUCUCACAAACGCGUUGCGACACAAGUUGCAAGAAUGUUUACACGGUGCAACGGGGACGCAAUCGUUGUCAAAAGCACGAACGAAUUCUACUUUUGGCAACUAUUGCUGCAACUUGUCACGCAACAUCUUUCUUUUUUUUUUUUUUCAAUUGCGCUGUAGGCUACACGCUGCGAUGGCUCCGUACACUUGUGUCACAACGCCGUUGCGAAACAAAUGGCAGAGAAAAUUGCUCCGUGUAAUGGCGUCUUCAAUGCCAAGUGCUUUUUUCUUUGAAAUCAUUGAACCAGUUCCUUUAGGUGAAUUCAGGAAAGGUCUAAAUCAGGGGAAGUGUAGAUGGGAAUAGAAGACAAAGGGUUUUAAGGAAUGGUGUAAAAUGGUAAAACAAAUACAAAAAGAUGAAUAAUAAAGCAUGGAACUCGAAAAUUGAAUUUGAA